CUGCAACCAAUUAAGCUGACUGAAUUCCUUUCCUCACGGGGGCCAGGUGUGCAAUGGCUGCAAACAGCAGCUUCCUUGGUAGUGUACGCAGCCUGUUUCUUGUAUGCAUUGCUCUAAGGGACCUUGGAGACAGGC
ensembl:snoRNA SNORA70 Small nucleolar RNA SNORA70